AGAUUGAACGCUGGCGGCAGGCCUAACACAUGCAAGUCGAGCGGUAGAGAGGUGCUUGCACCUCUUGAGAGCGGCGGACGGGUGAGUAAUGCCUAGGAAUCUGCCUAGUGGUGGGGGAUAACGUUCGGAAACGGACGCUAAUACCGCAUACGUCCUACGGGAGAAAGCGGGGGACCUUCGGGCCUCGCGCCAUUAGAUGAGCCUAGGUCGGAUUAGCUAGUUGGUGAGGUAAUGGCUCACCAAGGCGACGAUCCGUAACUGGUCUGAGAGGAUGAUCAGUCACACUGGAACUGAGACACGGUCCAGACUCCUACGGGAGCAGCAGGUGGGGAAUAGUUGGACAAGUGGGACGAAAGCC
rnacentral:rRNA from 1 species